UACGUAGGGGGCAAGCGUUGUCCGGAUUUAUUGGGCGUAAAGAGCGUGUAGGCGGCCAGACAGGUCAGCUGUGAAAACUCGAGGCUCAACCUCGAGACGUCGGUUGAAACCUCUGGCUAGAGUCCGGAAGAGGAGAAUGGAAUUCCCGGUGUAGCGGUGAAAUGCGCAGAUAUCGGGAAGAACACCCGUGGCGAAGGCGGGUC
rnacentral:rRNA from 1 species